AGAUGCCUAUGUGCUGGCUUCCUGAGGAGAGCUGUUCUGAUGCCGGAUUUUAUAAUCAUCACGAACUUCAUUGGAAAAGAGAGAGAAAGUGAAGUCUGGAGAGUCAAAAAGCCAGGAGCUAUGGAAAGACGGCUGGCUGUCUUCAUGACUUCCAGGUCUGCAGCACGCGCAGCAGUUUCAAGGCCUUACCUCAAGGGUAACAGAAGGUUCAGCCCAUUAUAAGGAUGUAUAACAACAGUGACAGUGCUCAUGGAAAUGUUAAUUAUCUGGAUUGUAAUGACUGCCAUAAAGAUACUCCAGCACAUGGGAAAGUUUACUUAUGUGAAUAAUCCUGUUGAUUUGGAUCAGACU